UCAAGAAUAUUCCACAAUGGCCGAAAGGCUGAUGGAGCGACGCCGCGUGUAUGAAGACGCCCCUCGGGGUGUAAAGUACUUUUAUUAGGGAUGAAAAUAUGACAGUACCUAAUGAAUAAGGGGCUGCUAACCUCGUGCCAGCAGCAGCGGUAAUACGAGGGCCCCAAGCGUUAUCCGGAUUUAUUGGGCGUAAAGAGUUCGUAGGCUGUUUAUCGCAUCUUCUGUUAAAUCUCGAAGCUCAACUUCGGGGCCGCGGAAGAGAUGGAUAGACUGGAGAUCGGAAGAGGCAAGUGGAAUUGCUGGUGUAGGGGUUAAAUCCGUUAAUAUCAGCAGGAACACCAAAUGCGAAGGCAACUUGCUAGGACGAAUCUGACGCUGAGGAACGAAAGCGUGGGUAGCG
rnacentral:rRNA from 1 species